rnacentral:rRNA from 1 species
GACGAACGCUGGCGGCGUGCUUAACACAUGCAAGUCGAACGGAAAGGCCCUUCUUUUGUGGGGUGCUCGAGUGGCGAACGGGUGAGUAACACGUGAGUAACCUGCCCUUGACUUUGGGAUAACUUCAGGAAACUGGGGCUAAUACCGGAUAGGAGCUCCUGCUGCAUGGUGGGGGUUGGAAAGUUUCGGCGGUUGGGGAUGGACUCGCGGCUUAUCAGCUUGUUGGUGGGGUAGUGGCUUACCAAGGCUUUGACGGGUAGCCGGCCUGAGAGGGUGACCGGCCAAAUUGGGACUGAGAUACGGCCCAGACUCCUACGGGAGGCAGAAGUGGGGAAUAUUGAACAAUGGGCGGAAGCCUGAUGAAGCAACGCCGCGUGCGGGAUGACGGCCUUCGGGUUGUAAACCGCUUUCGCCUGUGACGAAGCGUGAGUGACGGUAAUGGGUAAAGAAGCACCGGCUAACUACGUG